AUGGCUGGAUUCGCUGAUGCACUGAGGCCGGAUAAGUUUACCGGUGUGCACUUUAAGAGGUGGCAGGUGAAGACCACGCUCUGGCUUACUGCUCUGAAAGUUUUCCACGCUAGUGUUGGUGCUCCAGAGGGAAUGACCGACGAAGAUCGGAGAAAAUUCCAGGAAGCCAAUACUAUGUUUGUGGGAUGCAUUCUGAGUGUUCUUGCUGACCGUCUGUGUGAUGUGUACAUGCACAUAAACGACGGAAAAAUUCUGUGGGAUGCACUGAAUGCAAAAUUCGGUGCAACAGAUGCAGGCAGUGAACUGUACAUCAUGGAGAGUUUUCAUGACUACAAGAUGGUGAAUAACCGUUCUGUGGUUGAACAAGCUCAUGAGAUACAGUGCAUUGUGAAGGAACUUGAACUCCUUAAAUGUGUUCUACCCGACAAAUUCGUGGCUGGGUGCAUGAUUGCAAAGUUGCCUCCUUCAUGGAGGAAUUUCGCCACAACUCUGAAGCAUAAGAGACAGGAGAUAUCAGUUGAAAAUCUGAUUGCAUCUCUUGAUGUUGAAGAAAAAGCUCGCGCUAAAGAUACCACUGAAAAAGGAGGUGAGGUUCAGCCUACUGCUAACAUGGUGCAGAGGUACCCACAGAACAAGAACAAAGGGAAGAACAAACCUGUUUUCAACAAGCCUACCAAGACUACUACCUUCAAGAAGAAGAAGUUCAACAAGGCUGAGCUAGAGUGCUACGCCUGUGGGAAGCCUGGACACUUUUCCAAGGAAUGCCCUGAACGUGCAGACCGCAGAGGGAAAACAAGCUCCAAGACUGUCAACAUGGUGACCGCUAGCAAUACUGAUGGGUAUGGUAAUUUACCUAUUGUGCUUUCAGUAUUUCAAUCAUCUUCGUGGUGGAUUGAUUCGGGUGCUAACGUUCAUGUGUGUGCUGACAUCUCCCUGUUUACUUCUUAUCAGGUCGCAAGGGAUUCUUCCGUCCUAAUGGGGAAUGGGUCACAUGCUUCUGUUCGUGGCAUUGGCACGGUGGAUCUGAAGUUUACUUCGAAAAAGAUCGUGCAACUAAGGAACGUGCAGCAUGUCCCUACUAUGAACAAGAAUCUAGUUAGCGGCUCCCUUCUAUGUCGAGAUGGAUUUAAGGUAGUUUUAGAGUCCAAUAAAGUAAUCGUGUCAAGAUUUGGACAAUUUAUAGGAAAAGGCUAUGAGUGCGGAGGCUUGUUCCGUUUUUCUCUUUCAGAUUUUUGCAAUAAGUCAAUAAACCAAAUUUGUGCUAAUGUUAAUGAUGAUGCAAGUAUUUGGCACUCUCGUUUAUGUCAUAUUAAUUUUGGUUUAAUGUCUCGGCUAUCCAGCAUGAGUUUAAUUCCGAACUUCACAGUUGCCAAAGGUUCUAAGUGCCAUAGUUGUGUGCAAUCUAAGCAACCUCGAAAGCCUCAUAAGGCUGCCGAGGAGAGAAACUUGGCACCUCUAGAACUCAUACAUUCUGAUCUUUGUGAGAUGAAUGGUGUGUUGACAAAAGGUGGAAAGAGAUAUUUCAUGACUUUGAUUGAUGAUGCGACUAGAUUUUGCUAUGUUUAUUUGUUACAAACUAAAGAUGAAGCAUUAGACUACUUUAAAAUCUAUAAAGCUGAAGUUGAAAAUCAACUAGAGAGAAAGAUCAAGCGUCUUAGGUCCGAUCGUGGUGGAGAGUAUGUUCCAAAAGUUUUUGAUGAAUUUUGUGAGGAACAUGGUAUUAUUCAUGAGAGGACGCCUCCCUAUUCACCUCAAUCAAAUGGAGUGGCCGAGAGGAAAAACCGCACAUUGACUGACUUGGUGAAUGCCAUGUUAGACACUGCUGGUUUAUCUAAGGCAUGGUGGGGGAGGCUCUAUUGA
rnacentral:rRNA from 1 species